rnacentral:rRNA from 1 species
AGUAGCCACGGUAAUACGAAGGGUGCAAGCGUUACUCGGAAUUACUGGGCGUAAAGCGUGCGUAGGUGGUGGUUUAAGUCCGUUGUGAAAGCCCUGGGCUCAACCUGGGAAUUGCAGUGGAUACUGGGUCACUAGAGUGUGGUAGAGGAUAGUGGAAUUUCCGGUGUAGCAGUGAAAUGCGUAGAGAUCGGAAGGAACAUCUGUGGCGAAGGCGACUAUCUGGGCCAACACUGACACUGAGGCACGAAAGCGUGGGGAGCAAACAGGAUUAGAUACCCCUGUAGUCCCUGUCUCUUAUACA